UACGGAGGGUGCAAGCGUUAUCCGGAUUCACUGGGUUUAAAGGGUGCGUAGGUGGGUUGGUAAGUCAGUGGUGAAAUCCCCGAGCUUAACUCGGGAACUGCCAUUGAUACUAUCAGUCUUGAAUACCGUGGAGGUCAGCAGAAUAUGUCAUGUAGCGGUGAAAUGCUUAGAUAUGACAUAGAAUACCAAUUGCGAAGGCAGCUGGCUACCCGAAUAUUGACACUGAGGCACGAAAGCGUGGGGAUCAAACAGGAUUAGAUACCCUGGUAGUCCACGCCCUAAACUAUGGAUACUCGACAUACGCGAUACACUGUGUGUGUCUGAGCGAAAGCAUUAAGUAUCCCACCUGGGAAGUACGACCGCAAGGUUGAAACUCAA
rnacentral:rRNA from 1 species